rnacentral:rRNA from 1 species
UACGUAGGAUCCAAGCGUUGUCCGGAUUUACUGGGUGUAAAGGGUGCGCAGGCGGACUGGUUAGUCUGGGGUGAAAUCUCAUCGCUUAACGGUGAAACUGCCUUAGAUACUGCCAGUCUUGAAUCAGCGAGAGGUUCGUGGAAUUCCGAGUGUAGCAGUGAAAUGUGUAGAUAUUCGGAAGAACACCAGUGGCGAAGGCGGCGAACUGGCGCUCGAUUGACGCUCAGGCACGAAAGCAUGGGGAUCAAACAGG